CUGGGAAAAGCCCAGCGCUGAAUCUUUCGAUGUUACAUCGUAAAGAAAUGUAGCGUAUAGGUGUAGUUAUCGGUUUGUUUGGCAUAUCCAAAGUUCCUUUGAUAGGGGCCAUAUUCCAGAGAGGGUGCGAGACCUGUGCGGAUAGCGGAACAUGCCGUAUGAUUAUACCUUGGAGUCGGGUUGCUUGAAAGUGCAGCCUUAAGUGGGUGAUAAACUUCAUCUAAGGCUAAAUAUGGACGCGAAUUCGAUAGCAAACAAGUACUGUGAAGGAAAGUUGCAAAGAACUUUGAAGAGAGAGUUCAAGAGAACGUGAAAUCGUUGAAGUGGAACCGGAGAGAGUUGACGUAGUAUGGUGGAUAAGUAUUGCAAGAAUCGCUUCAAACCAUGAAUGUGAUCGAGUAAUAUGUACGUCACCAAUGACUGCGCUGACAGCAUCGACUACACGCUCUGAACCGUGUUGACAUGUUGCCUACUCUAGUAUAUAGAGUGGUGUCUUGUGUUACGUGGUGAAGUUUGUUGUUAUGUUGUUGAUGUUGAUAAGUAUGAUUAUACACCGAGUAUAAUUAUGUCAGUGUAAAAGUCAACCACCUCUCCGACCCGUCUUGAAACACGGACCGAGGAGUGUAACUUGUACGCGAGUCAAUGGGUGGAAAAACCUUAAGGCGAAACGAAAGUGAAGGCACGGUUAACCGGCUGACAUGGGAAACGUGCGGUAUUGUUAGCGAGACGUUACACCAUGGCCCUGUCUUGUCUGCAUGCAGAUGGGCAGCGGUAGAGCGUACAGGUUGCGACCCGAAAGAUGGUGAACUAUGCCUGAGCAGGACGAAGUCAGAGGAAACUCUGGUGGAAGUCCGUAUCGGUUCUGACGUGCAAAUCGAUCGAUAGACUUGGGUAUAGGGG
rnacentral:rRNA from 1 species